GCGCUAGCUUCAGCAGCACAUAUACUGCCGAAUAUCGGAACAAUGCAGAGAUUAGCAUGGCCCCGUGUAUGAAUGACACACAAACUCAUGAAGCGUUCCAUAUUUUU